AAAAUAAAUUAUUACCACUAUAUAAACAAUAUAUUGGAAUAAAAAAUUACCACUGUAUAACAUACACUAUUUAUAGUACGUAUUCCAUGCCCAGUCCUGUGCC